CAGCCGCCGCGGGAAUACGAGGGGGGCAAGCGUUGUUCGGAAUUAUUGGGCGUAAAGGGUGCGUAGGCGGUUUGACAAGUCAUCUGUGAAAUCUAUGGGCUCAACCCAUAGUCUGCAGGCGAAACUGUCGGGCUUGAGUAUUGGAGAGGUGAGUGGAAUUUCCGGUGUAGCAGUGAAAUGCGUAGAGAUCGGAAGGAACAUCUGUGGCGAAGGCGACUAUCUGGGCCAACACUGACACUGAGGCACGAAAGCGUGGGGAGCAAACAGGAUUAGAUACCCCGGUAGUCCCUGUCUCUUAUAA
rnacentral:rRNA from 1 species